AACGAACGCUGGCGGCAUGCCUAACACAUGCAAGUCGAACGAAGGCUUCGGCCUUAGUGGCGCACGGGUGCGUAACGCGUGGGAAUCUGCCCUUUGGUUCGGAAUAACAGCUGGAAACGGCUGCUAAUACCGGAUGAUGACGAAAGUCCAAAGAUUUAUCGUCAGAGGAUGAGCCCGCGUUGGAUUAGGUAGUUGGUGGGGUAAAGGCCUACCAAGCCGACGAUCCAUAGCUGGUCUGGGAGGAUGAUCAGCCACACUGGGACUGAGACACGGCCCAGACUCCUACGGGAGGCAGGAGUGGGGAAUAUUGGACAAUGGGCGCAAGCCUGAUCCAGCAAUGCCGCGUGAGUGAUGAAGGCCCUAGGGUUGUAAAGCUCUUUUACCCGGGAAGAUAAUGACUGUACCGGGAGAAUAAGCCCCGGCUAACUCCGUG
rnacentral:rRNA from 1 species